CAAUAUAUUUUUAUUGCAGCAGUCUCAUCAAAAGCGUCGAAGCAACUAAAUCGCAUCGAGAUCUCAAACAAACAACGGCCCAAAAUAAUCCGAAUGCGGCAGCUGCUGUUUAGUUUAAUGAGUUUGAAAAUUAAAUUUUCAUAUGGUCAGUGAGUGUGCAGCUAAGUGCCGUUAAGCGACUUCAGCAACAGCAACAAAGACAAGAACAAAGUCAAGACCAACCACCCACCUAAACUGAAACUUAUCAAAACUAAAACGAAACAA